rnacentral:rRNA from 1 species
UACGUAGGGUGCAAGCGUUAAUCGGAAUUACUGGGCGUAAAGCGUGCGCAGGCGGUUGUGCAAGACCGAGUGUGAAAUCCCCGGGCUUAACCUGGGAAUGGCAUUGGUGACUGCACGGCUAGAGUGUGUCAGAGGGGGGUAGAAUUCCGACGUGUAGCAGUGAAAUGCGUAGAGAUGUGGAGGAAUACCGAGUGGCGAAGGCAGCCCCCUGGGUCAAGAUUGACGCUCAUGCACGAAAGCGUGGGGAGCAAACAGG